rnacentral:rRNA from 1 species
UACGAGGGGGGCGAGCGUUGUUCGGAAUUAUUGGGCGUAAAGGGUGCGCAGGUGGUCGUGUGUGUCAGAUGUGAAAUCCCGGAGCUUAACUCCGGAACUGCGUCUGAAACUGCACGACUAGAGCAUUGGAGAGGGUAGUGGAAUUCACGGUGUAGCAGUGAAAUGCGUAGAUAUCGUGAGGAACACCAGAGGCGAAGGCGACUACCUAGACAAUUGCUGACACUCAGGCACGAAAGCAUGGGGAGCAAAAGGG